UAGCUAAUAAAAAAGGAGAGGAGAGGGGUGGAAGCACCUAUGUGAAUACAACCCAGAGGAGAAUAGAUCUGGUUGCUGGUGGUUGUGGGGUUGUGUAUCUAGGCCUGAACUGAACAGCAGAUCUAAUCUGCCUACCAAUGCAAGUACUCACAAAUGCACUGCCUCCCCUUCAUGAAGCUGCAGCAGUAUGCAGCAAAGCCCACCUAAGCUGAGGUCCUCCAGCAGUGCUGCACCCAGAGCUCUCCAGGUUCAGUAACUCAUUUCCUCUGGGGAGGAAAAAGAUGAAAGUAGAAUAAGAUCUUUUGAAGAACUGUCUCUAUGGACCAGUGUGUCAGUGUAUGCAUUGUCUUCAUAGAUCCUAUGCUGUCUGGAGGAUUCUGAAGUAAAAUCAGGUGGUGACUCUAAAGAUCUGUCAUCUGUCUCUUACUUCACUUAAAUCUCUGGGUGUGGAUGAAAGUUGAGCUGAGACUGUUCCUUGAUCUGAAUAUAGUCCCUUUGUGUUCACAAAGGACUGCGGAUAAUACUUACUGGCAGUGAGUUAUCCUUACAGCUUAUGUUCCUCCAACAAUACUACCAGAGUGCUACAGGUAGAUGGAAGUGAAGUUAUGUCACUGGGCAACUUUUCAGCAGUGCACUGUUGGCUUUGCUACCAGCUGCAGGUGGUGGCCAGCAUUCAGUGACAAGUUACAAUCUGAAGUCUUCUUGACCAUGUUGCAAUAGGAUUAUGUCACUGCUGUUGUAUCAUUUCCACCCUUCUCCAUGAGGACAGCUUUCUAUUUUUUGCCAUUAAGGAAACCAUACUGCCUGGAAAUAAAUCUGUAUUACAAUGACAUUAUAUGGUGUUGGGAAAUAGCUUUGCAUCUGAUUGGCUUGUUCUUAGAAGAUUAGGGACUAAGUAGAUAUGCAAGUAUUUCUUCAGAUGUCAUUUAUAUUUAAUGUACAACUUGAAAGGGAAGGCUCUGCCAAGAGCUGUCUUCAAAUAUGCUUAAAAACUUUCAUAAGAAUUGAAUACAAGCAGGGAGUGAUGCCUGACCCCCCAAAUGCUCUUAUAAGUACUGUGUGUAAGAGGAUGCUCUUGGCUCCUGCAGCCCUUCUGCUCUGUUUACAAGAAUGUUUCCUGGCUGGCUCAGAGAAGCUGGUUUCCAAUGGGAAUAUUAAUGCAACAGGAGAGGGAACAACUGGAAAGAUGUGGUAUGUCUUCCCCCAGACCCGGGAUGCUCCCUCAGCAGGGAGAAAUGCCUGUGUUCUGCAGCCUUCAGCAUCGUCUGCCAGGAAAGCAGCCAUCCUGCAACAGACAAAAUCCAUGAAGGCAUUUUAAGAGAGAAAGGAUAGGAACAGGUUUGCACUGCCAUCUUCAGCCCCAGGGAAAAAUGGAGCUCCUUCAUUUAGUGGGCAGAGCAUGUGGCUGUAUGGGGUAUCCCACAGGCACUUGGAUAUGUGUACUCCAAAGAUCCUCACAAGAACAGUGCUUCUGCUGCUCUUUGCACCAGCCAUGCAGGAAGAGAUGGAGGGAUUUCCUCCAUGCAGUCACUACCAGUGCUGUGGAAGGAAAAUAUGUAAGCCCUCCAAGGUACAGCAAGACUACAAAAACAUGGGAGAGAAGUAACUGGUGGUAAAGCAUGUGUUUGAGGGAGAGAAAUCUGGAAAAAAAAAAAGGGCAGCCUAGAGCUCUAGAAGGGAAAGUGAACAGAGCAGUGGAAGGUUCUGGGAAGACAAGAAAGCUUGGUACAACAUAUUGCCAAGUCUGCGCAUGGAUUUUUGAAGAUUUUUUUUCUGCUCUAAUAUAAACACCUCUUUCCUUAAUGCAGAAACACAGCUUCACUGAUGGUCAGAAGAUGCAAUCUGGUGAUGAAGUGUUUAAACAGCAUUUAAGAUUUUCCAUUACAUAGGAGUACCUAUUAAACAGAGAAGUUGCAUCAUUAUUGAUUUACAUUUUUGUGAUUUUACAUUUUCAAAAAUUUUAGCAACUUCUUGGAGUUAUGGUGCAUGAAAGAUUCUGCUAGAGUUAAUGGGGUAUUUGUAUUUAACCACCCUUGUUGCAAGAUGUGGAACAAACUUAAGAACUUAAAAAAUACUCUGAACUAGAAUUCCUAAAGUAUCUUAAAAAUCCAGUAAUACUGCUUUAUAUAGAAAGCCACGCAUCUCUGGAAAUCUAGCUGCAGAACAAACCAUCACAUUACUGUAAAGCUGAAUAGCUUUAUAUACAAAAUGCUGAAUUUUCAAAAUCUUCUAUCAGUAGCCUUUUUGUUUUAUGGACUAUUAAACUGGUGUGCAACAGGCUGUCACUAAACAUUUGUUCCAUGUUUUGCUGAAUGAAGUACAGAAAUACAAGGCAGCUGAGGCGCCUUCCCUGCAGAGAGUAAAGAUGACAAAAUUGGGAGCUGCUGCAAGAACUGAAAAACAGAGGUGUGGGCUACAUGCUGUGUGUGUUGCAGUGAUGGUUAUUUAGGGGUUGUGGGAAAAGGAGGCGAGAUGCUGGAGCUUGCUGAAAUUGUCAGAACUGCUGUAUGUUUUAUUAAUGAUCUAUAACCUUUUAGAUAUACAGACUAUGCUGCUAAUAGCAAAAGCAAAAUAACAAAAAGAUCUUAAUUUGUCUCUUUUUGUAACUGGGAAGAGUUUGAUAGUGUGUUGAUAGUCUCAGGACAUAAACCAUCAGUAAUAGCUACCAGGAGUCACUGUCAGCCUGAACCUGGCUAAGUGUAAAGCGUGUAUAAACUUCAUCAUCUAAUUGCCACUAGUCAUUAACCCACUCUUCUAGCUGAAUACCAUGUAGGACUGGCAUGAAACCUGCUGGAUAAAGGAAUAUGACUUCUCUUGCUAACAAUCUGGCACUCUGAGCACCCAUCCAUCUGCUUAUCUAGGAGCUCUGUGGUAAAAGCCAUGAAGGAAAAAUAGGCGAAACUUUUUGACGAGAGAUAGCAUUAAAGUAAGCAUAAUGUCAGGUGGGAUUAAACUUGGGCUGAUAAAAUGUGCCUAAAAUCUCUUCUGGAGACAGAAGUCUUCACCCACCACACAGGCUCAGCACAGCUAGUGGCAGUGUGAGUGACUCCUGUCACACAGUGCACCUUUCUUCUUCGUGCAGACCGAGGCAGCAAGGGUACUGUGGCAAGCACACACCUAGUUGCAGUUGUCAGCAUCACUUUGGAGUCCAAGCAACUUCCCAUGUCAACAGGGUAAUUGGCAGAAGAUCUUUCACAUGCACAGACACACAAAUAAGUUGUAUUUUGCAUUCAAAACUAAGAAGGUGGCCAAACAGUUUUCCUUCAAGAUCUUGAUGACUUUGUCUUAUUUAGGUUAUUUUCAGGAUUGGGAGAGAUUGAUUGCAAAUGCCAAGUCAUGUUAUAAAAACAGUAUCAGACACUUUAAGGAGAUGGGAAGAAGCAUCACUGAAGGAUGCAAGCCUGGAAGAAUGUGCUUCACAGAGAGAAAACUUGUGGGUAGAUUAACAUUUUCUGGAUAAGGCCGUGCUCAUUCCUUGUGUACCCCCAGGGAUACUAUGCACUGGGACCAAAACCUUUGUUGUCUGAAUUCUCCCAAUUCUUCAUUACUGUAGUGCAGCAGGGGCUGGAGGCAUCUGUACCUGGCUGAGGGAUCCACACAGGCAGAGAAGAGAAGAGGGGCUCCAUGUAAUAGUUUAAGAACUACUAUCCUAAAUAAAUAAAUAUGGCCUCAGGCCAGCCUUGUUUAAUCUUUUGAGGCUUUGGAGAUAUUGAAACAUGAUGUGAUAACAAGCAGCUGUAUUUCACGAAAUAUUUACCAAUGCUCAGUGUGUGCACUCUCUUCAAGCCAUCCAUCCUCUUUCAUUAUUUCACCAGAUACCGUGACUCAUUUCUGAGUCUGUGAUACUUGGCUACUGAAAUAAUUAAUCUUGAAUAGAAACUAAAAUUUGGUUGUAUCAUGCAGGAUUUUCAUUUUGAAUGAGAGUCCAGUCAGUGAUGUCUGAGCUUUAAACUUGCUCAUUUCCAUCUGUAAAAGCAAAUAGUAAAAUAUUAAUAAAAUUGCUUGGAACCAAAAAAUAUUAGCAUUCAAAAAUCUCCAUAUCUUUGGAUAUUUGAUUAAAAAUUCUGAUUUUACUUAGAGUAUUUCUGCAUAUACGUAUAGCUAAGAAGCUUUAUCCAUACAGCAGUUACUAAAACAGGUCUGACCAGCCUAUUUUGUGCAGUGGGAACAGCAAGAGUAUGAAAAUUAGUUUCCAAGUAGGAAAUAAGAUCAGCCAGGAACCAGACAUCUCUUUUCUUCAGUUCUGAUACAUGAGGUCUUUCAAAAUAUGUUUCAAAAGUAUUUGAUAGCUUCCCUUCUAUUUUAGGAAAAUACAUAGACAUAACUGCUUUAAAGGAAGAAAGCCGUCUGUAAAACAUGAGAACUUGUGGGUUUGUACUUGACUUGUACACUUUCUCCUCACCUUUACAAAAUGCCUCCUUGAAUUACAACCUCCCAAGAGAGCUAUGAGCCCAUAACUGAGGCUAUCAGUUGGAGUAGACAACUUACCUGUUUCUGUGUGCAGUUCAGUGGAUGGUUUCAGUGUCCCUGUUUUUAUUUACUUUCCCACCAGUGUCUCUAAGCAAUUACAAAGGCUUCU